rnacentral:ncRNA from 2 species
GGCAGUGACACGGGGUGCCGCGAUCCGCGCGGCUGAGAUCACACCCGUCGAACCUGAUCUAGUUCGGACUAGCGAAGGGAUGUCGCGAUGAACGAUC